UGGGAGGGAUUGCGAUGGAGAAGAAAAGUAUCACACCGCUUCUUCUCUUUUCUUUGCUUCUUUUCUUCUUCUCCAGGAGUGUAGAGAUUCACGAUUCAAUCGCCCUCUUGCCGAAUGAAGAGAUGUCCUACUUCUCUCCACAGCAAUGGCGUUGGAUCUCAAAGAUCUGGAGCGAGAAAGAGCGCAAUCGGAGCCAAAAGCCCGAGAUCUCGCACGGGAGACCAUACAAAUCGCAUGGGACGAGGUCAACUUUUGGUUAAAGCCGGAGAACAAGAGAUAAAGCUCAUACGGAAACUGUGAAGAGCUUCCCAGAUCCGUGGUAAGCGUUGCUUUCAGACUUUUGGUU